GGGUUGUGAGGUUAAGCGACUAAGCGUACACGGUGGAUGCCCUGGCAGUCAGAGGCGAUGAAGGGCGUGCUAAUCUGCGAUAAGCGCCGGUAAGGUGAUAUGAACCGUUAUAACCGGCGAUACCCGAAUGGGGAAACCCAGUGUGAUUCGUCACACUAUCAUUAACUGAAUCCAUAGGUUAAUGAGGCGAACCGGGGGAACUGAAACAUCUAAGUACCCCGAGGAAAAGAAAUCAACCGAGAUUCCCCCAGUAGCGGCGAGCGAACGGGGAGGAGCCCAGAGCCUGAAUCAGCAUGUGUGUUAGUGGAAGCGUCUGGAAAGGCGCGCGAUACAGGGUGACAGCCCCGUACACAAAAGCGCAUGUGCUGUGAGCUCGAUGAGUAGGGCGGGACACGUGGUAUCCUGUCUGAAUAUGGGGGGACCAUCCUCCAAGGCUAAAUACUCCUGACUGACCGAUAGUGAACCAGUACCGUGAGGGAAAGGCGAAAAGAACCCCGGCGAGGGGAGUGAAAAAGAACCUGAAACCGUGUACGUACAAGCAGUGGGAGCACAGGUUUACCUGUGUGACUGCGUACCUUUUGUAUAAUGGGUCAGCGACUUAUAUUCUGUAGCAAGGUUAACCGUAUAGGGGAGCCGUAGGGAAACCGAGUCUUAACCGGGCGUUAAGUUGCAGGGUAUAGACCCGAAACC
rnacentral:rRNA from 1 species